UAAUACGUAGGUAACCUGCCCAUGUGUCCGGGAUAACUGCUGGAAACGGUAGCUAAACCGGAUAGGUAUACAGAGCGCAUGCUCAGUAUAUUAAAGCGCCCUUCAAGGCGUGAACAUGGAUGGACCUGCGGCGCAUUAGCUAGUUGGUGAGGUAACGGCCCACCAAGGCGAUGAUGCGUAGCCGGCCUGAGAGGGUAAACGGCCACAUUGGGACUGAGACACGGCCCAA
rnacentral:rRNA from 1 species